CCAUUAGAGAUCUUUGCACAAAGUAUACACCCAACAAAUGCUAGAUGGGUGGAUUUCUGGGUAGAUAAAUGGGUGAAACAAAGGAAGAAAAAGCUUCUGUUUUGGGGCCAGAGCGGAGGAGCAGGAGGAAAAACACGCAUCUGGUUCCACUGCCUUCUGGUGCUGCCUGCGGAUCCCGGGAUAUACCCCGUCAAGUGAUGAGCAUGGAAUGCUGUGCACACAAUAGACAUAAGAGAUGCUUAAAUAUUGACGGGAGGAAGAGAGAGAAGGAA